AAUUCGCCCUUGAGCACGUAGGUGGGUUUGUAAGUCAGGUGUGAAAGCCUUCUGUUCAACGGGAGAAUUGCAUCUGAAACUACGAAUCUUGAGUGUAGGAGGGGAGAAUGGAACUUCUGGUGGAGCGGUGAAAUGCGUAGAUAUCAGAAGGAACGCCGGCGGCGAAAGCGAUUCUCUGGCCUAUUACUGACACUCAGUGUGCGAAAGCUAGGGGAGCAAACGGGAUUAGAUACCCCGGUAGUCCUAGCCGUAAACGGUGGGCACUAAGUAGUGGGAAUUACCGAUGUUCUCUCUGCCGUAGCUAACGCAUUAAGUGCCCCGCCUGGAGAGUACGGCCGCAAGGCUAAAACUCAAAAGAAUUGACGGGGGCUCGCACAAGCGGUGGAGCAUGUGGCUUAAUUCGAUGCAACGCGAAAAACCCUACCGGGGCUUGACAUGUUAGAAGUAGGAACCUGAAAGGGUAACGAACGGUAUCCAGUCCGUAGCUAUCACAGGUGUUGCAUGGCUGUCGUCAGCUCGUGUCGUGAGACGUUGGGUUAAGUCCCCUAACGAGCGAAACCCUUGUUUUUAGUUACCAGCGGGUUGUGCCGGGUACUCUAGAAAGACUGCCGUCGUCAAGACGGAGGAAGGUGGGGAUGACGUCAAGUCAUCAUGGCCCUUAUGCACCGGGCUGCACACGCGCUACAAUGGUCGGUACAAACGGAAGCGAAGCCGAGAGGUGAAGCGAAUCCAAGGGCGAAUU
rnacentral:rRNA from 1 species